rnacentral:snRNA from 1 species
AGAGUGGCCUUGCUGCCACGAU